UCCCUAUGUAUUAAAUCUAUCCACCCCAACUGAACUUCGUAUUUAUUAAAUCUAUCCACCCCAAUUAGAAACCCUUGUUCAUUCCGCCCCCAAAUCACAAAAAUUAUAAUUAGAAAAAAAGACCUUCUCCACUCUAUAUCAAGCAUUAUACUUAUCGAUUUUCUCCCAGUUUCUAUCCCAAUGGAUCCAAUAUCUAAAACCCCUCUAAAAUUUCAAUUACUAGUUACUUUCGUCGGCGGCCAGCCGCGUUAUUGGAUUGUUUCAUUCUUUUCUGUUUCUCUCUCCUCUCUCCUCUUUCAAUUGAAGUUGAUAUUGUAAUUCAUCAAAUGUUGGGAGGACCGUCAAUUGUUGACCUUGAUUUUCACUGGUACAUGAUGAACUACAUGGUGUAGGAGGAAGAAUGUUAUGAUUAUUGAAAUGACAUUCUUAGUGGAGGUUUAUACUCACAAGUUGGUGUUUGAUUUUCUUAGUGAUCGUAUAUAAGUUGAAUAUCUAGGUGAAUUGUCCAUCAUAGUUUGGCCUUAUUUUGGUGAAACUUUGUUCGCAAUAUCGUAAAACAUUGUAAAUUAACUAUAUUAUUUUUUAAAUAAAAAUAUAAUUUUUAUUAUCA